GCCAGGUGUGGUGGCGCACACCUGUAAUCCCUGAGGCUUGGGAGGCAAUUCAGUGAGACCCUGUCUCUAAAUAAAAUAUAAAAAGGGCUAGGGAUGUGGCUCAGUGGUCAAGCACCUCUGGGUUC
rnacentral:sRNA from 1 species